rnacentral:rRNA from 1 species
AUUGAACGCUGGCGGCAUGCCUUACACAUGCAAGUCGAACGGCAGCACGGGUGCUUGCACCUGGUGGCGAGUGGCGAACGGGUGAGUAAUAUAUCGGAACGUACCUUAUUGUGGGGGAUAACGCAGCGAAAGCUGUGCUAAUACCGCAUAAUCCCUAAGGGGGAAAGCGGGGGACCGUAAGGCCUCGCGCAAUUAGAGCGGCCGAUACCUGAUUAGCUAGUUGGUGAGGUAAAGGCUCACCAAGGCAACGAUCAGUAGCUGGUCUGAGAGGACGAUCAGCCACACUGGGACUGAGACACGGCCCAGACUCCUACGGGAGGCGGCAGUGGGGAAUUUUGGACAAUGGGGGCAACCCUGAUCCGGCAAUGCCGCGUGAGUGAAGAAGGCCUUCGGGUUGUAAAGCUCCUUUGUCAGGGAAGAAACAGCAGCUCUAACACAGUUUGCGAAUGACGGUACCUGAAGAAUAAGCACCGGCUAACUACGUGCCAGCCGCCGCGGUAA